AAAGGAAUUGACGGGGGCCCGCACAAGCGGCGGAGCAUGUUGCUUAAUUCGACGCAACGCGAAGAACCUUACCAGGGCUUGACAUCACCCGGACGACCUCAGAGAUGGGGUUUCCCUUCGGGGCCGGGUGACAGGUGGUGCAUGGCUGUCGUCAGCUCGUGUCGUGAGAUGUUGGGUUAAGUCCCGCAACGAGCGCAACCCCCGUCCCAUGUUGCCAGCACGCCCGUUUGGGUGGUGGGGACUCAUGGGAGACUGCCGGGGUCAACUCGGAGGAAGGUGGGGACGACGUCAAGUCAUCAUGCCCCUUAUGCCCUGGGCUGCAAACAUGCUACAAUGGCCGGUACAGCGGGAUGCGAUCCCGUGAGGGGGAGCGGAUCCCUAAAAGCCGGUCUCAGUUCGGAUCGGGGUCUGCAACUCGACCCCGUGAAGCCGGAGUCGCUAGUAAUCGCGGAUCAGCAAUGCCGCGGUGAAUACGUUCCCGGGCCUUGUACACACCGCCCGU
rnacentral:rRNA from 1 species